rnacentral:rRNA from 1 species
AGCGAACGCUGGCGGCAGGCCUAACACAUGCAAGUCGAACGGAUCCUUCGGGAUUAGUGGCGGACGGGUGAGUAACACGUGGGAACGUGCCCUUUGGUUCGGAACAACUCAGGGAAACUUGAGCUAAUACCGGAUGUGCCCUUCGGGGGAAAGAUUUAUCGCCAUUGGAGCGGCCCGCGUCUGAUUAGCUAGUUGGUGAGGUAACGGCCCAUCAAGGCGACGAUCAGUAGCUGGUCUGAGAGGAUGAUCAGCCACACUGGGACUGAGACACGGCCCAGACUCUUACGGGAGGCAGCAGUGGGGAAUCUUGCGCAAUGGGCGAAAGCCUGACGCAGCCAUGCCGCGUGAAUGAUGAAGGUCUUAGGAUUGUAAAAUUCUUUCAGCGGGGACGAUAAUGACGGUACCCGCAGAAGAAGCUCCGGCUAACUUCGUG